AACCCACUUCCCCCAAGGAAGUGACAUAUGCUUUUUCCAAAGCCAUUUCAAAAUCUUUCUGAAGAUUUCCCUCUUCACGACACAAACAACCUUUUCUCUUUGGAAGCAAAUGGUUAAAACCCAACUGGACACGAGGCAUGAAUUGAAGCUACCCACUUGUCAACCAAAGGCGCGGCCAAAUGACACACACACGCUGCCAGAGGUCAAGCUGUGGUUGAGUGUGCACUCCUUUCUUAUAUUAUAAGAGAUUACAAAAUAAUGCAAACUAAACUAUAACUCUAUAUAUGCAUUCCUUAAACUCACAGAUUUUCCAUACCCCCCUGAAGUUGGUGAAUAGGUAUUCUAAACUCCCAGAUUGGAUAUUUUUGUUUCAAAAAUUGGGAUAUUCAAUCAAUCCUUUAGCGAGAAUAUAUACAAGCUGUCCUAUUUCGCACAUAUAGAGUACAAAUCAAGUAACCAUUCUGCUUCUUUAUGAAAUAUCUGUCAACCUUGACAUGCUAAGUUCAAUCACGCUGAAUUGGAUUGUGUGCUGAGCUGUUUUCUUAUUUAUUUUCUCAUUAGAGCUUCAUAGUCCUUCCCAUUUUAUCUUCAAAUCUUCUAAAAUAAUCUCAAGUCAAAGUAGUUGCACAAUUCCUAUAAUCUUAAUUAAACAUCAACUUUUUCUUUAUAAAAGAAAGUAGUUGCACAAAAUCAUUUUGCGCUCAUUAUUUAGGUUCUGUUCUUUUCAUUUACCUGAUAGAUAAUAUGUUCUAGGUGGCAAAUUUUGAAUACAUUGAUAAAGUUGAGGCUUCAGAAGGAAAAAACUUUUGGGAGGAAUUGCUAAAAGACAAAUACCAAGAGCAAAAACUUGAAGUGCAAGAUGCCUUGGGUAAAGGGAAGCGAAACCGCACAACAUUACUGGGGGAGAAUUUUGCUCCUCUAGAAGGUGUAGGCUCCGACGGCGAAGAUGAUGAUUGUGAAGUGGAUCUUACCGACGUUGAUUCAAAUUCAACAAGAACCACUACUUCCAGAAGACCUUCCAAAAAGAAAGCUCCUGCAGAUAACACAAAUCCACCACCUUUAAUGGAAGGUGAAGGAAGAUCGCUAAAAGUUCUUGGUUUUACUCAACGUCAGAGAGCUGCUUUCCUUCAUAUUAACGAGGUUUGGGGUCGGCGAUUUUGAUUGGAAGGAUUUUAUUCCCCACAUGAAGCAGAAGACUUAUGAAGAAAUCAAUGAGCAGUGCUCUUAUUUUCCAUGAACAUGUCUCACAUUCUAAUUUAGUUUUAUUUUGAUUAAUCCAAUUGUUAUUUUAUGCCAGAAUUUGUAGCUUUUCAUAUUAGCUUUUGUUUUGUUGGGGGGAGGGGGGAGGGGGCGGAUUAGAGGACAUUUGGGUACAAAUAUGACCAAUGAGAACAUUUAAUGUUAUAGUUUAUUCCAAAUAUGUCACUAAAUUAAAUACUCUUGGGGAAUGGUGAGACCCCCUUAUAUGGGAUAGAUGCAUAAUUAGUUGUAGAGUACAGUAUGAUAUGGUUUUACCCAUUACAUGGUUUAUUGUAUCUUAAAUCAUUAUUUGCGAGUGAAUUUGAUCUAUAUAUUUUGAACAGGCAUGGAACCCUUUUCUUGUCUCAUAUUGCUGAAGAUAUAAAUGAUUCCCCUACAUUCUCAAGUGAUAGAUCCCUUAUUCCUGUAGUAUUUCUCUCAGUACCAUCUUUCCAAUAUUUUCAGUUUACUUAUUUUUCCCUCCUGUUGAAAUGUGUCUGUAGAUGGUGUUCUGAAAGAAGGACUUCAAAUAGAUGAAGUACUUGUUAGAAUAUCGGUUUUGUCAUUGAUAAGGGAAAAGGUGAAAUUUGCAUCAGAGAAUCCUGGCACUCCACUUUUUUCAGACGACAUCAUGUCACAAUAUGCAGGCUUGAGAAGUACAAAUAGAGGGAAGGAGGAGAAUGAUUUAGUCUUACUGCAUGCAGUUUUGAAUUUCAAGAGAUUUCUCUAUUUCUGCUUGUGACAAUGAUCCUAAUCGGUCAACGCUAGCUCAUCUUUACAAUGAGAUGUGCAAUGUUGUGGAGAAAAAUACUGAGGAUUUGGUUCAUACAUCGAUGUCUAGAGAACUGACAAAACUAGAAAUCAUUGUUGGACUUGUCCACAAUCUGACACCAAAUCAAUCUGCUCAAGAGCCAAUAACAAAUUCUGAUAACGGAUCAGUUAUCAUACCACAGACUCAAGUUUUGGAUUCUGAAUCCAUUUCAUCAUCCCUCAAGAUGAUGCAAAUCUAGAUGUAAUGCAGUUGGAAUCCAAAAAGUAAGCUCGCAGCUCGAGUCUGAUGGAGAGAGUUAUGAAGCAGUAUGUCUUCCAGAUAUAAGGAAAAGAAUGGUACCAGUUUGAUGUCAUGACAUACCUGAUGCGGCGGUCAUUUUUUUGGAAUGAUUAAAUGCAAUACCUAAUAGGCAGAUAUUUUAUACAUGGUUGUAUUUUAUAUAUACUCACUCUAUUUCAAAUAGUUGGUUUUUUAAAUAUUUUAACUUUGUUACAAAACUUUGUCUGUUUUAGAUAUCCAAUAUAUAUUUAUCAUUUUUCUUUAAAGUAUCCCUCUAUUAAAAAUUGAGGAUUCAAUUCAAUACAAAGUUUCUAAUAGUGCAGAAUGAGUCACACUAUUCAUUUUAUGGUAACACUACUUGUAAUAAAGUUGGGAAAAGAUGAAAGAAUAUGGAGACAGUCACCUCUGAUCAUCCCAAAAUCUCAAACAUAGAGUUUAGGAUGAUUAACAGUUAGUGCCACAAUUUGGGAAUGAGCGACUUCAAAUAGGUUCAUUGCUCCGGCCCAGAAUACUAUUAAUCCGGCAUGGGCUACAUGGCCCCCCAGUAGUUUACCGGAUAAAUUGAUAAGUCGGGCAUUCCCGGCCCACCAAGCAAAACCGGUAGUUUCUUGGUCACGGCCCGUUAAAGCUAAAGUUCCAUUAAAGAGCGUUUCCACGUGGUAG